rnacentral:rRNA from 1 species
UACGUAGGGGGCAAGCGUUGUCCGGAAUCAUUGGGCGUAAAGCGCGUGUAGGCGGCCUUGUAAGUCCGUUCUGAAAGCCCGGGGCUCAACCCCGGGAGGCGGAUGGAUACUGCAAGGCUCGAGUCCGGAAGAGGCGAGUGGAAUUCCCGGUGUAGCGGUGAAAUGCGCAGAUAUCGGGAGGAACACCAAUGGCGAAGGCAGCUCGCUGGGACGGUACUGACGCUGAGACGCGAAAGCGUGGGGAGCAAACA